rnacentral:lncRNA from 1 species
GUAAAAUGACCAAAAAAGAAAAGGCUGGUACUCAAAUGGGCAACAGAAUUGGCCUCCCUGCUUUGGAAGCACAGCAAAGCAGCAUGCUUAUUUCUUGGAGACACAGUUCCCUUCUGAAGCAUCUCAAUAAUAUGCAGAUUAUCCAUUUGGCAAACGACAUAGUUCCUAUGGCCUCUGUCCCACGGAAAAUGUAAGCCAUGAGCUCAGCCACUGGUACUCAAAUGACAAAGCUAGUUCAUCUCGCUCAAGUUUGGUUCAUUUUUUUUAAUGGGCAUUUUGAGAACGCUGGUUAAAAUUAAGAAUUUCAUGUGAAUAUUUUUUUUGGAUUAAUUAUAUUUUUUGUUUCUAAACUUUUUUAAAUUCUUAUUUUUAGUCCCUCUAUGAAUAUUUGACCCAUCAAAAUCCCUAAACAUUACUUUCGUUACUUUUGGUCAUGAUAACUUGCAUUAUUUUUAUUUUUUUUAUGUUUUAUUACAGUAAUUUUUUUAUUGUUCAAAAUCACUAAGAAAAAUGCUUUGUGGUAUCACUCUUUGUUUGGAAAGAAAUUUUAAAGAAGCAAUUUCUAACGGUUUUGCUUUUCAAAAUUCCUUUGCAAACCAAGAAUAGAUUAAUAUAUAUAUAUAUAUUUGAGUUAGACAAUGACAUAACAAAAAGGUGUAUCUUGAAAGAAGCAUUUUCAUUAAUUAACACGUGUUAAGGUUCUAAUCAGUGUUGCUUUAUCAUAGAAAAGACUUUGGUAUAUAUAAUUUUUAGGAUAUUAAUUAAAAAAUAAAUAAAACUAAAUAUUAAAAAUAUAUUUAGUUUUAUCAAUAUAUUCUUACCGUAAUUUUUAAUACUAUUUUUUUAUUUAUUAAUUACGCAUGGUUAAUAAAGUGAAAUAGAAAUAGGUUGUUUUGGACGUACAAAAAUAAUUAGUGUUGAAUAGUUCUAUUUUUUGGGCUUUUUUAUCAAGGGGUAAAUUUUUUUUACAAUUUUUCAACGGGGUAUAUUUUAAAAAAUUAUUUAAAAUGGGAUUUAAAUCUGCUUUUUUUACUAUUUGUAACCAUGUGUUUGUUAUGUUAACCUACUUUUUUUUCGUAAAUCUAUUUUUUCUUUUAAAUUUAAUAUUUUUUACGGUUUGAUUUUUAUUUUAAAUAAAAAAUUUAAAAAAUAUAUAUUUAAAAAUGUAAUAAAUAAUAUUAAGUUGAUUUUAUUUUAUAUGUUAUUAUUUUAUUUUAAUUUUUUAUUAUUUAAAACAUGUUAUAUAUAUUUUUAAUAUAGUUUACUUUAAAUGUUUUUUAUUUAAAGUUUAAAUAAUGUAUCAAUAAAAUUAAAAAAACAACAUAAUUAAUACAUUGAUAUAAAACACACAAUACAAAUGAAAGAAAAAUAUAAAAAUUACAAAUUAUUUUAGUCAUGUACUUGUUUGUAUAGACAGUUAGCCCGAUUAUGUCCUUCACUUCUACAUAAUGAGCAUUUCUUAGGCCUAAUUGAAAUUUGUUCAUUCAUCUCAUUAAAAAUAUAUAUAACAUGUUUUAAAUAAUAAAACAUUAAAAUAAAAUAAUAACAUAUCAAAUAAAAUCACAAUAAAUAUACUAAUAAAAUCAACUUAAUAUUAUUUUACAUUUUUACAUAUAUUUUUGUUAAUUUUUUAUUUAAAAUAAAAAUCAAACCGUAAAAAAUAUUAAAUUUAAAAGAAAAAAUAGAUUUACGAAAAGAAAAAAAUAAAUUAACAUAACAAAAACAUGGCUACAAAUAAUAAAAAAACAGAUUUAAAAAAAAAAACUAUUUAAGACUUUGAAGUCGUGAACCUUUAAAAUAUUAAAAAAAAGUAUUUACGACUUUAAAGUCGUAUUUUAAAAAUAAAAAAAAAUACGACUUUAAAGUCGUAAAAUAAAAUAAGCUUUGUACUGAAGUCAUAAAUAUUUUUACAACUUCAGUUAAAAAAAUUAAAAAAUAAUAAGUCGUAACAAGUGUUAUGACUUCUGAGUUAUAAGUCGUAACACUUGUUACGACUUAUCCCAUUUUGGAUAAUUUUUUAAAAUAUACCCCCAAUUAAAAAAUUACAAAUUUUUUUACCCCGAUUGGUAAAAAAGCCUUUUUUGAGCAACUUGUUGAGUAGACUAAUUCAUCAAUCAAUUGCCAGAGUUGAGUGGACCUUGUCCAACCACCAUAUACGUAACAAACUCUAAGGUGGGCACUAAGCUAUUUUCAAAGAACAGAGAUUUUUACUUUAUUAGCCAGAUACAACAUCAACUUGCUAGAAAUAAAGGGCCAUACCUUCAACUUUAGUCCUUCUAUAUCCCAUAUAAAUUUAUUCUUUUAUUUAAGACUACAUAACAUAAUCAAGAGCAAACCAUUUCCUUGCUUAAUGUAUUCACAUUGUAUUGAGCUGGAAAGACAAUAGUUUGCUACUGAAACAAAAAUCAUAAGUUCUUCUAAACCUACGCAUAAGUUGCAGACAUAGCACGUGCAUACAGAUGGAUAAAGAUACUAUACUUAUAGAAAUCAUCAUGAAGGCACUGUCCACAUAUAAAUUGCAUGCCUUAACGGUUGAAUAAAAUUGUUUCAGUGACACUUAAAAGACAUAAAAAUAGAUUGUAAUUAUUCAGAUAACAUGAGAAAAAAAAUUGAUGUUCAAUCAAAUAAUAAUAACAAUAUAUUAUAGCAUUACCUUAGCCGCUGAACCAAAACUAUGACAUUUUAAUGCAGAAAAUGAGAGAGACGCCGUCAGAAAAACCUUGCAAACACUUCCAAGUUCUAGCACA